UACGAAGGGGGCUAGCGUUGCUCGGAAUCACUGGGCGUAAAGCGCACGUAGGCGGCUUAUUAAGUCAGGGGUGAAAUCCUGGAGCUCAACUCCAGAACUGCCUUUGAUACUGAUGAGCUUGAGUUCGGGAGAGGUGAGUGGAACUGCGAGUGUAGAGGUGAAAUUCGUAGAUAUUCGCAAGAACACCAGUGGCGAAGGCGACUCACUGGCCCGAUACUGACGCUGAGGUGCGAAAGCGUGGGGAGCAAACAGG
rnacentral:rRNA from 1 species